GCCUCCGUGGUGGAAUUGGUAGACACGAUAGACUCAAAAUCUAUUGCCAAAAGCAUGCCGGUUCGAGUCCGGCUGGAGGUACCA
rnacentral:tRNA from 1 species